GUCUUUUUGAAGUUAAUAAAAAGUCUGGCCUGCUCAAUGAAAUUAAAUAGCCGCGGUAUUUUGACCGUGCGAAGGUAGCAUAAUAAAUCGUCUAUUAAAUGUGGUCUGGAAUGAAAGGUUAAACGAAGGAUAUCUUUAUUAAUAUUAUGAUUGAAUUUGAAUUAUUAGUAAGAAUGCUAAUAUGAAUUAGAGGGACGAGAAGACCCUAUAGAGCUUUAUAUAUUAAAAAUUUUAUGUGGAGUUUUUAAAAAUAUUUUGUUGGGGCGACAUAUAGUGUAAACAUUAAAUUUAAUUUCUUUUUUGUAGGUAUUAUGAUCCAUUUAUAGUGAUUUUAGAUCAAGUUACCUUAGGGAUAACAGCGUAAUUUUAUUAUAGAGUUCUUAUCGAUAAUAAAGUUUGCGACCUCGAUGUUGGAUUAGAAUUCCUUUAUGGCGCAGGAGUUUUACUAGGUAGUCUGUUCGACUAUUAAAAUUCUACAUGAUCU
rnacentral:rRNA from 1 species